AAUUUUAUGUUAAAUUAUGUAUUUAUUUUUGGCAGGGCAAGUACAGUUUUGAACCCUAGCAUUGAGCUCUGCAUUUGAAUAAGCCAGUCUACUUCAAGGAUUUUUAAAGGCCUUUGAUUAUGUUAAGAAAAUUGUAAAAUAAAUCACUUCACAACGUUCUUUGUUUUAAUUACUCUUUUAUUUUAUUGUAGAGCAGUGGUCUUUAUAAAUCACGUUUGCUGUAGAUCAGUGGUCUUAAUACUAGCCUACUAUAGCAGCUAACAGGUCAGAGAUAUUUAAAAUAAAGCCUGAUAAAAUCAUUAGCAUUUUCUUUGUUUAUUAUUUUAAUAUUAUUUUUUUCUUGGUUUUGAUAGUAAUACAUUCUAAUCAGUAAUUUUACAUGCAGAUUAAUGUAUGUAUAGACAUGUAGUGUGUGUGUGUGUGUGUGUUUGUUUGCGUGCGCAUGUUUACAUGAAUAGUAGGCCAGUCUGGAUGAAGUCCAGGGCUGAUUUUUUGUCCCAGUCCAGCCCUGGCUGUAUCUAACUAUCACACCAAAUAUCCCUCAUCUGACUGCAUCCCAUUUUCACUCAUGUGUUUCUGUCUUUUAGGCUGUGAUAAGAAGUACGGUACGGGUUGCACUUUGCUUUAUGUAAUAAUUGUCAAAUAUUUUGAUUUCAGAUAUGGGAAAAGCACUUAAGAUGAGCACACGUUUCAGGAACGUUAAAAUUAAGUUGGUGAGGAGGUCUAUGGUGGGCCCUGCAAGUUUUCUUACCUCAGUCAAGGUCUUCCCCUGCCCAGCUACAAACAGACCCACCCUUCAGACGCUUCUACUACAUCUCAACCUGCUGAACCUGAUGAUGCGACACCAAGCUGUUCUGAGAGCGCAUACAGUAAGGCAAAGAAGAGAGAGCUUCAUGCCUGGGAUGCAGUCAAGGAUGAGAUGCUUAAGGUGUCGUUUGAAUGUUCAGCACCGAUCACUACCCAGUGUGCUGUCUGCCGAGAACAUGCUGAUUAUAGGUGCAUUGAGUGCAGCUCCACUGCACUGUUCUGUGAGGUUUGCCUGAAGAGGACUUUCACUGCAUCUUCCUGAAAAGUGGAAUAGUGUUUACUAUGAGCCAUCCUCCCUGGGGUUAUUCCUAUAUUUACCUGAAGCCCAUGGCACCCAUGCUGUGUACACAAAGGACAUGAAGGUCAUUGUCAGCACAGGAUGGCUCUGCACCGUUACAGACACCAUGUGUGCGUGUGAACCAGAAACCUGUACUCUGCUGAGAUCUGGGCUCUGACCAGCAACAGCCACAAGCCCCAGACAGACAGCCUUCUCCAUCCCUCUGCUAGAGCUUGUUGUUUCUCUGUCACUGGAGUGUCUGGUUUCUGUUGAGGGUUUUUGCAACACCCCAUAUCCCAUUUUAGGCAUCACCACUUCCGACAAAGAGGUUUGGUUGAUAUUUGCCCACAAUUAAAUGAUGGAACAAAAUAUGCCCAGCAUGUCCAAAGGCGGAUGGAGAUAUGAUUGUCACAUUGGAUGCAAACUUUGGCCUUGUGAGGAAUCAAAGCUCUGGGACAAGUGCGGUUGAUCCAUUACACAGAACCCACGUGUUUAGAGGAAUACCUGCUAUCACAUCUUGACAGCUCAAAGCCUCAAGAGGUUAAUCAUUGUUGCAGAAUUUCAUUCGAGUCCAUGAAAUAUUAAUUAAAAUUGUGAAAAAGAUCACUAUUCCUCCCAUAAAUCUAUGUUUUCCUUAAAUCUUUAUGACUGCAGUAAGCUGCUCUCAUUCAAGGUCUCCAACAGCUGGAAAGAAAAUGACAUCAAGCCACUGUGAUGUUUCACCCACAUGUACCAGACAUUAUAGACAUAUAAUAUAAAAUAAUUAUUAUUUUAUAUAUAUAUAUAUAUAUUUAAUUACUUUACUGCAUUACUUGUGCAGACAUGUUGUUUUACUAGGUCUGAUCUAUUUUAAAGCUUAGGCACUGUAUUUAAGCAUACAUAUCCCCACUAGUCUGUCUGUAUGAGUACAAAAUUAAAAAAUAAACUGUCUAUAAUUGUUACUGUACAAGCACAGCAAAAUAUUUCUAUAAAAAAUAUUGCACUACUGUUAUUUUGCAUAGAAUACAUUGUUC